GCCGGCAGGGGUCAGAGCCAUCGCUGAGGCGGCGCUUUGCGUCCGGCUCUUCCUAAGGCACCGCGCCUCGCAAGCCCUGCAGCUCCUCCACGGAGGAAAGCGGGAGCGCGUCCUGAGGAGAGACUGGAGCCCUGUCCUCAACCCUGUGCAGGCCCCUGAAGAGCGGGAAGCCGAGGCUCCUCCACCCCGUUGUGGCUUCGGGCGUCGCUUUCCCCUAGUUGGUGCUGUUCCCUGAAAUAAUGAGGAACCGCCAGGAGCAGGGGCGUGAAGCUGAGUGAGGAAGAAGAAGAUGAGUCGGUCUCCGGAGCGUCGGCUCAGGUGUUUUGCUUUCAUGUAUGUCUGUGCACCACAUGUGUGCAGUGCCUGUGGAACCCAGAAGAGGGUGUUGAACCCUUCUAGAACUGGAAUUACAGUUGGCUGUAAACCAUCAUGUGAGUGCUGGGACACAAACCCAGGUCUGGAAGAGCGGCCAAUGCUCUUAGCUGCUGAGCCAUCUCUCCAGCCCCAAGCACCAGACUUCUGGGCUAAGGAAACGGCAUGAAUUCAGAUGAUCCUGGAGGUGUUUGGAAACGUCCUUACAGGCACCAUAGCAGACAACCAGAGCCAUCUGUCACCCACUGCCUGCACCACCCUUGACUGAAUCAGCACACAGGUUCCAACCUGGGGACUUGGUGUGGGUCCACCACUUACCCAGCAAGACUCCGGAACCUUCCUGGAAGGAACUGUAUCCUGUGAUCCAAAGGCCAUCAAGGUAGUAUGACUGCAGUUUGGAUCCACCAAUCCCAUGUAAAGGUGGACAUAGCCAGCCAGGGGAAGGUGACAAAUGGAGGGUCAUGCAAACUUCCCAUUGCCCUCUAAAGGUAUAGCUGACCUGCAUCUUGAACUCAGACUGACACUAAUAUUGGGAAUCUUGGUAGGUAACUCCUAUAUAUGGCCAACUAAAAGUGUUGAAGUCUGGGAUUGGGAACUGUCUCGAACUGCAGAUAAGAAAAUAAUAGGCAUUUUCUGGAAUGCCACCUCUCAACCUGUGUUUAGAUUCAUCCUGUGCGAUUUCUUUGAUAACAAUAAACUUAUGGCUGAAUGGGAAAGUUAAAGUCCAGUUCACCCAGGGUGUGGGACCAAAAUGCAGGAAAUAUCCUUCUGGCCUUCACCAUUUUAUGCAUGCCCAGCCGAUGGGCCUAUACAUUGUCAUAAAUGUAAAGAGAUCAUUGUUCCACCCCAGGCUGUGAGACUAAGUCUGACCAGGGUGGACAUAAAGACCCAUUCAUCUCCAUUCAGUGAGUGUAUCCUUCUCAGGAUUGUAAACCUGGGACCUGCAACCCCUUCACUUUCAAGAUCACGGCCUGGAAUGAAUUGAGCUCCAAACACUGGCUUGCAGGUCAGACCUGGGGGUUUGUACUUAAAUUUAAGAAUUAUGGAAACAGUCCCGGUGUAGAAUUCACUAUUCAGAAAAGGGUACCAUCCUACCUAGCCAAUCCUGUAGGUCUUAAAAUAAACUGGCAGCCUCAGUCAGGGAUUAGGGUAUCUCAUUUCUCUGUCCCCCCUUCUCAGGCCACUCCACCCACAGUCACAAUCAAGAGGCUGCAGUAAUAGAGUCAUCCUCACCCCUACUGCAGUACGGACUCAUAUCCCCUGGUGAUGUCCCUGAGCUCAAGACCUUGAAGUUACUGCAUAAUUGGACAAAUUAUACACACCCAGCCUGGGAAGACAUUGUUAGCUUUGUCUAGGUCCCAGGCCUCCCUGUUAUAUGGGCUAGAGGUCAAUCUCUCUAUUAACUACUACCCCACCAGAAAAUUUAAAUUGAGUAUAAAACUUUUGCCUGAUUAUGAAGGACAUUUCCAUUCUGAGGCUCAUUAGGGCCUUGUUAGAAAAGAGUGUCAGUCGCAGCUCUACCCCUCCUCAUGAAGCAGGAGUCAGAGGUCAGUAGCAUCAGCCCUAGUUACUCAAGACCAGAGUUUUCAAACACUAAGGAAUAAAGUAGACCAAGACAUAGCGUGGAAAACAAGUAGUUUCCCCAGCAGAAAUGGUUUUAUAGAAGCAUCGAGGACUGGAUUUGUUACUCUUGAAGGAAAGUCGUUUUUGUGCUGUUGUAAGUAAAAACUGUCUCUGUGUCAGUAACUCGGGAGUUACAUUGAAAACUUUAGAUAUGAUUCAGAAAAACUUAGAUUCAAGGGCAAAGGAGUGAACUGAGGCUUCUAAUUGGUUCAGUCUCUUUUCUCUUGGUCCCCAUGACUUAUACCCUUUAAUGGUCAUGGCUGGGCCUCUGCUUCAUACUGCUCCUUGGCAUCACAGUUGGCCCCUGCAUUUGAAGUUGGCUACUAACAUUAAAAGUAGAAUCAAGUCUGUUGCUAAAAUAUGAGCCCUACAGGCUCGUUACCAACCUGUACUUCAGCAUGAAUUGAUUUAACUUCUGUGAACUAGAGCCAGUAGGGAAUGUGAUGGCUAAGGUACCCAUUUUAGUAGUUUUUCCCUUUAACUUAAAUUCAUGAUUUUUUGUGCCCUUUCCAGAAUGGUAUAACUGUUGUGAAAUAAUUAGCUGCUUGCUCUGGCUUUUGUAACUCACUGAUGUAUGUAAGGGGAGUGAGGCAGUUUCUCACAGAGAUGCAAAUUCACAGAAAAAUUAAGUCAUUGUGGGUUUGCCUUUUAAAAACCCUUCUUUCAACCCCUUAUGGGAGCUAUGCCUUUAAUUUGGCUUUAAGGCUAUCACCCUGCUAGCAGUUUUAAUAAAUUCAUCUAAUUGUAAUCUGGAUUGAUUCUGUGGUCCUUUCCUGGUGGUCUCGAAUUUUGUAACAACCCAGCCUGAACUCCUUGUGUGGCAACGGGUUUAUAAUUUUGGUCUUUCUGUAGUGAAAUUCUGUAUUCCACCAUCAGCCCACAGGAGAACUAGUUUUCUUUCCUUUUUUUAGGGUUUAUUUAUAUAUUUUAUGUAUAUUAAUGUUCUAUCUGCAAC